UGACGGCGGGGAGCGAGGGUUCG
rnacentral:misc_RNA from 1 species